AUCUGGAGGCCUGCAGGUUGGGGAAGCCUGCAUGAGAAAUAGAACAACAUUGAAAUCUUAGACGUAUCAGUCUUUCUCCUACAACUUUCAAAAUCAAUGUAACCUAGAUGGCUUUUUCGACAUUGCUGACAUAAUUAAGGAAAGACCUACAAGCUUGGGAUGGCCCAUGAGGAGUAAAAGUUUCAUCUGUUGGAUUUCUGUCUGUCAUGAGAAGAACUACCCAGUUGUGUAUAACUGUGUAUAGACAUACCUGAAAAAAGGAACCAGCAUGGAGACUUUUUGCUUCAGUGCAAGAUCUGCUUUCUCC